rnacentral:rRNA from 1 species
GAUGAACGCUGGCGGCGUGCCUAAUACAUGCAAGUCGAGCGAAGCGGGGACGGGUGAGGAACACGUGGAUAACCUCCUAUAAGACUGGGAUAACUUCGGGAAACCGGAGCUAAACCGGGUACUUAUAGAUGGUACCGCGCUGCAUUAGCUAGUUGGUAAGGUAACGGCUUACCAAGGAAACGAGGCAUAGCCGACCUGAGAGGGUGAUCGGCCACACUGUAACUGGGACACGUGCCAGACUCCUCCGGGCGGCAGCCUUAGUGAAUCUUCCGCAAUGGGCGAAAGCCUGACGGAGCAACGCCGCCUGAGUGAUGAAGUUCUUCGGAUCGUAAAACUCUGUUAUUAGGGAAGCGGUACCUAAUCAGAAAGCCACGGCUAACUACGUGCCAGCAGCCGCGGUAAUUC